GGGUUGUGAGGUUAAGCGACUAAGCGUACACGGUGGAUGCCCUGGCAGUCAGAGGCGAUGAAGGACGUGCUAAUCUGCGAAAAGCGCCGGCGAGGUGAUAUGAACCCUUGACCCGGCGAUGUCCGAAUGGGGAAACCCAGUGUGUUCCGACACACUAUCGUUAACUGAAUACAUAGGUUAACGAGGCGAACCGGGGGAACUGAAACAUCUAAGUACCCCGAGGAAAAGAAAUCAACCGAGAUUCCCCCAGUAGCGGCGAGCGAACGGGGAGCAGCCCGGAGUCUGAAUCAGCUUGUGUGUUAGUGGAACGGUCUGGAAAGUCCGACGGUACAGGGUGAUAGUCCCGUACACAAAAACACACUUGCUGUGAACUCGAAGAGUAGGGCGGGACACGUGGUAUCCUGUCUGAAUAUGGGGGGACCAUCCUCCAAGGCUAAAUACUCCUGACUGACCGAUAGUGAACCAGUACCGUGAGGGAAAGGCGAAAAGAACCCCGGCGAGGGGAGUGAAAAAGAACCUGAAACCGUGUACGUACAAGCAGUGGGAGCACCUUCGGGUGUGACUGCGUACCUUUUGUAUAAUGGGUCAGCGACUUAUAUUCUGUAGCAAGGUUAACCGUAUAGGGGAGCCGAAGGGAAACCGAGUCUUAACUGGGCGUUAAGUUGCAGGGUAUAGACCCGAAACCCGGUGAUCUAGCCAUGGGCAGGUUGAAGGUUGGGUAACACUAACUGGAGGACCGAACCGACUAAUGUUGAAAAAUUAGCGGAUGACCUGUGGCUGGGGGUGAAAGGCCAAUCAAACCGGGAGAUAGCUGGUUCUCCCCGAAAGCUAUUUAGGUAGCGCCUCGUGAACUCAUCUUCGGGGGUAGAGCACUGUUUCGGCUAGGGGGCCAUCCCGGCUUACCAACCCGAUGCAAACUACGAAUACCGAAGAAUGUUAUCACGGGAGACACACGGCGGGUGCUAACGUCCGUCGUGAAGAGGGAAACAACCCAGACCGCCAGCUAAGGUCCCAAAGUCAUGGUUAAGUGGGAAACGAUGUGGGAAGGCACAGACAGCCAGGAUGUUGGCUUAGAAGCAGCCAUCAUUUAAAGAAAGCGUAAUAGCUCACUGGUCGAGUCGGCCUGCGCGGAAGAUGUAACGGGGCUAAACCAUGCACCGAAGCUGCGGCAGCGACGCUUAUGCGUUGUUGGGUAGGGGAGCGUUCUGUAAGCCGUUGAAGGUGUGCUGUGAGGCAUGCUGGAGGUAUCAGAAGUGCGAAUGCUGACAUAAGUAACGAUAAAGCGGGUGAAAAGCCCGCUCGCCGGAAGACCAAGGGUUCCUGUCCAACGUUAAUCGGGGCAGGGUGAGUCGACCCCUAAGGCGAGGCCGAAAGGCGUAGUCGAUGGGAAACAGGUUAAUAUUCCUGUACUUGGUGUUACUGCGAAGGGGGGACGGAGAAGGCUAUGUCAGCCGGGCGACGGUUGUCCCGGUUUAAGCAUGUAGGCGGAGGUUCCAGGUAAAUCCGGUACCUUGUUAACGCUGAGGUGUGAUGACGAGGCACUACGGUGCUGAAGUGAUAAAUGCCCUGCUUCCAGGAAAAGCCUCUAAGCAUCAGGUAACACGAAAUCGUACCCCAAACCGACACAGGUGGUCAGGUAGAGAAUACCAAGGCGCUUGAGAGAACUCGGGUGAAGGAACUAGGCAAAAUGGUGCCGUAACUUCGGGAGAAGGCACGCUGAUAUGUAGGUGAAGUCCCUGCGGACGGAGCUGAAAUCAGUCGAAGAUACCAGCUGGCUGCAACUGUUUAUUAAAAACACAGCACUGUGCAAACACGAAAGUGGACGUAUACGGUGUGACGCCUGCCCGGUGCCGGAAGGUUAAUUGAUGGGGUUAGCGGCAACGCGAAGCUCUUGAUCGAAGCCCCGGUAAACGGCGGCCGUAACUAUAACGGUCCUAAGGUAGCGAAAUUCCUUGUCGGGUAAGUUCCGACCUGCACGAAUGGCGUAAUGAUGGCCAGGCUGUCUCCACCCGAGACUCAGUGAAAUUGAACUCGCUGUGAAGAUGCAGUGUACCCGCGGCAAGACGGAAAGACCCCGUGAACCUUUACUAUAGCUUGACACUGAACACUGGUCCUUGAUGUGUAGGAUAGGUGGGAGGCUUUGAAGCGUGGACGCCAGUCUGCGUGGAGCCGUCCUUGAAAUACCACCCUUUAAUGGCUGGUGUUCUAACGUAGACCCGUGAUCCGGGUUGCGGACAGUGUCUGGUGGGUAGUUUGACUGGGGCGGUCUCCUCCCAAAGAGUAACGGAGGAGCACGAAGGUUGGCUAAUCCUGGUCGGACAUCAGGAGGUUAGUGCAAUGGCAUAAGCCAGCUUGACUGCGAGCGUGACGGCGCGAGCAGGUGCGAAAGCAGGUCAUAGUGAUCCGGUGGUUCUGAAUGGAAGGGCCAUCGCUCAACGGAUAAAAGGUACUCCGGGGAUAACAGGCUGAUACCGCCCAAGAGUUCAUAUCGACGGCGGUGUUUGGCACCUCGAUGUCGGCUCAUCACAUCCUGGGGCUGAAGUAGGUCCCAAGGGUAUGGCUGUUCGCCAUUUAAAGUGGUACGCGAGCUGGGUUUAGAACGUCGUGAGACAGUUCGGUCCCUAUCUGCCGUGGGCGCUGGAGAAUUGAGGGGGGCUGCUCCUAGUACGAGAGGACCGGAGUGGACGCAUCACUGGUGUUCGGGUUGUCAUGCCAAUGGCACUGCCCGGUAGCUAAAUGCGGAAGAGAUAAGUGCUGAAAGCAUCUAAGCACGAAACUUGCCCCGAGAUGAGUUCUCCCUGAGACUUUAAGUCUCCUGAAGGAACGUUGAAGACGACGACGUUGAUAGGUCGGGUGUGUAAGCGCAGCGAUGCGUUGAGCUAACCGAUACUAAUGAACCGUGAGGCUUAACCUUACAACGCCGAAGGUGUUU
rnacentral:rRNA from 1 species